UCCGUCUCGCGGAUUCAAGCAUUGCAUUCAUACAUUGUUGGUCCGUACUUCUUACGGAUUCAACAUUUUAUUCUUAUCACUUGUACUUUUUACUCUUACGUAGUACUCUCAAUCUCCCGAGAGUCUUACUACUCAUUUCACCCGUACGCCCACCUUCUACCCAAUUCUAACGGACAUACAUGUAACAAUUAUCGCGGUCUCACGAAUGUCAUACGUUUCUUGUGUAC
rnacentral:lncRNA from 1 species